rnacentral:misc_RNA from 1 species
AGCAGCCGCGGUAAUUCCAGCUCCAAUAGCGUAUAUUAAAGUUGUUGCAGUUAAAAAAGCUCGUAGUUGAAUUUCGGGAUUAACGUAAUGGUCGUGCCUUAAGGGGUAUGAACUGUUACUGUUGAUUUCUCACCUUCUGGAGAAUCUUGAUGUCCUUAAUUGGGUGUCUUGUGGAUCCAGGACCUUUACCUUGAAAAAAAUU